rnacentral:hammerhead_ribozyme from 15 species
AAUUGGUCGGGAGUUGAUGUCGCUUUCCUAAUGAGGCUAUGGUAGGCCAAAGCCGAUU